UACGAAGGGGGCGAGCGUGUUCGGAAUUACUGGGCGUAAAGGGCGCGCAGGCGGCUCUGAAAGUCAGAUGUGAAAUCCCCGGGCUCAACCUGGGAACUGCAUUUGUGACUGCAUGACUAGAGUACGGCAGAGGGGGAUGGAAUUCCGCGUGUAGCAGUGAAAUGCGUAGAUAUGGCGGAGGAACACCGAUGGCGAAGGCAAUCCCCUGGGCCUGUACUGACGCUCAUGCACGAAAGCGUGGGGAGCAAACAGG
rnacentral:rRNA from 1 species